rnacentral:rRNA from 1 species
UGGGGAAUUUUGGACAAUGGGGGAAACCCUGAUCCAGCCAUCCCGCGUGUGCGAUGAAGGCCUUCGGGUUGUAAAGCACUUUUGGCAGGAAAGAAACGUCGCGGGUUAAUACCCCGCGAAACUGACGGUACCUGCAGAAUAAGCACCGGCUAACUACGUGCCAGCAGCCGCGGUAAUACGUAGGGUGCAAGCGUUAAUCGGAAUUACUGGGCGUAAAGCGUGCGCAGGCGGUUCGGAAAGAAAGAUGUGAAAUCCCAGAGCUUAACUUUGGAACUGCAUUUUUAACUACCGGGCUAGAGUGCGUCAGAGGGAGGUGGAAUUCCGCGUGUAGCAGUGAAAUGCGUAGAUAUGCGGAGGAACACCGAUGGCGAAGGCAGCCUCCUGGGAUAACACUGACGCUCAUGCACGAAAGCGUGGGGAGCAAACAGGAUUAGAUACCCUGGUAGUCCACGCCCUAAACGAUGUCAACUAGCUGUUGGGGCCUUCGGGCCUUGGUAGCGCAGCUAACGCGUGAAGUUGACCGCCUGGGGAGUACGGUCGCAAGAUUAAAACUCAAAGGAA